rnacentral:rRNA from 1 species
UACGUAGGGACCAAGCGUUGUCCGGAAUCAUUGGGCGUAAAGAGCGUGUAGGCGGCUUGUUAAGUCUUGCGUGAAAUCUCGGGGCUCAACCCCGAGCGGUCGUGAGAAACUGGCAGGCUAGAGUGCGGGGAGAGGAGAGUGGAAUUCCUGGUGUAGCGGUGAAAUGCGCAGAUAUCAGGAGGAACACCGAUGGCGAAGGCAGGUCUCUGGGCCAUAACUGACGCUGAGAAGCGAAAGCAUGGGGAGCGAACAGG